ensembl:lncRNA
UUACAAAUACAAAUGAUUCUGUACGGUUGAUUUUAUGAUUACAUGUAAUUGUUUAUACGAUUCAUUCUUUAUGACUGAUUCCAUUUGAUUGAUUUUAUAUAAAUGAUUCUGUGGGAUUGAUUCCACUUGACUGAUUCGAACUGAUUCUCUAUGACUGAUUCCAUGGAUCUGACUCUCUGUCUUUGAACAGAUUCAAAUGAAUUCUCUUAAUGGAACUGAUACAAUGAGACUGAUUCAAGUUGAUUCUCUAUGACUCAUUCUAUAGGAUUGAUUCUAGUUGAUUCAGUCAGAUUCAUUAUUUUAUUCUAUAGAAAUGAUUCACGUUUAUUCUUUAUCAUUGAUUUUAUGUGAUUGAAUGCAUGUAUACAUUAUUCUGUGGGCUUGAUUUCAUGCAACUGAAUCUAUAGGUUUGAUUCUGUGUAACUGAUUCAGGGUGGUUUAAAUCACCAGAUUGUGUGUUUGAUUCUGUGUGAUUGAUUCAGUGGGUUUGAUUCUGAUUGUGAUCAUGUGUGAUUCUGAAGGACUGAUUUUGUGUUUGGUAUUAAAUUAUUGGUUCUAUAUGAAUGAUUCUGUGGGACUGAUUCCAUAUGACUGAUUCAAAAUGCUUAAACCUGUAGGUUUAAUUCUCAAGGAUUGAUUUUGUGUGAUUUGAAUUUAUGUAUUUGAUUCUAAGCAAUUAGCUUUAGAAUGAUUCUGUGGGAUUAAUUCAAAUUCAGUUGAUUCUGUGUGUCUGAAUCUGUGUGAUCUCUCUAUAGGGGAGGUCUUGCCGAAAGGCUGAACCAACUCCACAGCAGGCAAAGAUCAGCCAUCAGCUUCUGGAGACAUCAGUGCAGCUCAACCACCUCAGCUGGUCGGUGAGUUGAGCAGACGAGGAGUUAGGAAGUCUCAGCUGGACGCAGUGGAGGAUUGUGGGUUGUUGGGCUCUCAGAGCAGUCCUGUUGAGGUGGUCAUUCAGAGGGUGUGCUGCAUACCCAUCACCCAGACCCUUCACAGAGCUUCACUCCAGCACAGAGCACUGGACAGACCUCCGUCAGAAUCAGCACCACCGCAACACAUCGGCAGAAUCCGAGAUCCAGCAGAGCUUUGAGCAGCUGGAGGGCCGUGUGUGUCUCCUCCAGGCCCUGAGAGUCACCCAGCAUCUCACACACGGCAAGUUAGUCUGAUAUAAUCACAUGACACUAAAAACAUCCGGUUGAUCUGAAAUUUUUUUUUUUUUUUUGCCCACAGCCCAGUAGUUAGUAAAGAUCCUAUUAUAUUAUAUUAUAUGUGACCCUGGACCACAAAACCAGUCGCUGGGGUAUAUUUUAUUGUAAGAAAAUUUAAUUUAAUUUAAUUUAAAUUUAAAUUUAAAUUUAAAUUUAAUUUUAAUUUUAAUUUUAAUUUUAAUUUUAAUUUUAAUUUUAAUUUUAAUUUUAAUUUUAAUUUAAUUUUAAAUUUAAUAUUUAAUAUUUUUAGCAAUAGCCAAAAAAAACAUUGUAUGGAUCAAAAUUAUCGAUUUUUCUGUUAUGGCAAAAAUCAUUAGGAUAUUAAGUAAAGAUCAUGUUCAAUGAAGAUAUUUUGUAAAUUUCUUACAAUAAAUAUAUCAAAACUUAAUUUUUGAUAAGUAAU